CAUUUGGGUCCAUUUAGGGUCCAUUUUAGGGCCAUUUAGGGUCAUUUAGAACCAUUUAGGGCCAUUUGGGGCCAUUUAGGGUCAUUUAGGGUCCUUUUAGGGUCGUUUUUGGGGUCGAUUUUGGGGUCCCCUCACCAGGAAUGGGGCGGCGCAGUGCCUUUGGGUUCAUUUAGGGUCCAUUUAGGGUCCCUUUUGGGGCUAUUUGGGUCCAUUUAGGGUCCAUUUUAGGACCAUUUAGGACCAUUUAAGGCCAUUUAGGGCCAUUUAGGGUCAUUUAGGGCCAUUUAGGGUCCUUUUAGGGUCGUUUUUGGGGUCGUUUUUGGGGUCCCCUCACCAGGAAUGGGGCGGCGCAGUGCCUUUGGGUUCAUUUAGGGUCCAUUUUGGGGCCAUUUGGGUUCACUUAGGGUCCAUUUUGGGGCCAUUUAGGACCAUUUUGGGGCCAUUUGGGGUCAUUUAGGGCCAUUUGGGGCCAUUUAGGGUCAUUUAGGGUCGUUUUUAGGGUCGUUUUUGGGGUCGUUUUUGGGGUCCCCUCACCAGGAAUGGGGCGGCGCAGUGCCUUUGGGUUCAUUUAGGGUCGUUUUAGGGUCCCUUUUGGGGCCAUUUAGGACCAUUUUGGGGCCAUUUGGGGUCAUUUAGGGCCAUUUGGGGCCAUUUAGGGUCAUUUAGGAUCCUUUUAGGGUCGUUUUUGGGGUCCCCUCACCAGGAAUGGGGCGGCGCAGUGCCUUUGGGUUCAUUUCGGGUCCAUUUAGAGUCCAUUUAGGACCAUUUAGGGCCAUUUUAGGGCCAUUUGGACCAUUUAGGGCCAUUUAGGGCCAUUUAGGGUCAUUUAGGGUCCUUUUAGGGUCGUUUUUGGGGUCCCCUCACCAGGAAUGGGGCGGCGCAGUGCCUUUGGGUUCAUUUAGGGUCCAUUUUGUCCCCAUUUGGGUCCAUUUAGGGUCCAUUUUAGGGCCAUUUAGGACCAUUUUGGGGCCAUUUAGGGCCAUUUAGGGUCAUUUAGGGUCCUUUUAGGGUCGUUUUUGGGGUCGUUUUUGGGGUCCCCUCACCAGGAAUGGGGCGGCGCAGUGCCUUUGGGUUCAUUUAGGGUCCAUUUAGGGUCCCUUUUGGGGCCAUUUGGGUCCAUUUUAGGACCAUUUAGGACCAUUUAGGGCCAUUUGGGGCCAUUUAGGGCCAUUUAGGGUCAUUUAGGGUCCUUUUAGGGUCGUUUUUGGGGUCGUUUUUGGGGUCCC
ensembl:lncRNA